UACGUAGGGUCCGAGCGUUGUCCGGAAUUAUUGGGCGUAAAGGGCGCGUAGGCGGCCUCGCAAGUCAGGUGUGAAAUCCCAGGGCUUAACCCUGGAACUGCAUCUGAUACUGCUUGGCUUGAAUCCCGGAGAGGGUGGUGGAAUUCCUGGUGUAGAGGUGAAAUUCGUAGAUAUCAGGAGGAACACCGGUGGCGAAGGCGACCACCUGGACGGAGAUUGACGCUGAGGCGCGAAAGCGUGGGGAGCAAACAGG
rnacentral:rRNA from 1 species